rnacentral:rRNA from 1 species
GACGUAGGGCGCGAGCGUUGUCCGGAUUUAUUGGGCGUAAAGAGCUCGUAGGCGGCUUGUCGCGUCGAAUGUGAAAACCUGUAGCUCAACUGCAGGCUUGCAUUCGAUACGGGCAGGCUCGAGUUCGGUAGGGGAGACUGGAAUUCCUGGUGUAGCGGUGAAAUGCGCAGAUAUCAGGAGGAACACCGGUGGCGAAGGCGGGUCUCUGGGCCGAUACUGACGCUGAGGAGCGAAAGCGUGGGGAGCGAACAGG